AGCCUCUUUUUUUUUUUUUUUGGAUGGUGGUGGUGAUCGACUCAAUGUACUGACCUUGUUGUCCACUUUAUUGUGAAGCGCCCUUCUUUUGCAUGAUAAACUUCCCACGUUCCAUGUGGAGCAGAGAAAGUAAAAAUAAAACAUAAAAAUAAUUGCAUUGCUGCCUUUUUCAUGACAGAUAAGUGAAAGUGCUUCGCUGUUGCCAAACUUGCCAUCAUACUUGUUUCCUUUUUUCUUAGUUCACUGUUGCCAUACUUGCCAUCAUACUUGUUUCUUUUUUUCUGAGUCUUUCCAUGGUGGAUCUUGAUUUCAAUUUUUUGUUCUUUCCAUGCAGAGCAUUUGGGUUUGGCAAAACGGCGUCAACAAGAUUGUGAAUUGCUGAAGUAGCAU
rnacentral:misc_RNA from 1 species